rnacentral:lncRNA from 1 species
AAAUGUGGAGAACACUCAGGGGGAGGUGGAAGAGAGAAAGCAGUGAACAGAUUCAUCUUCCCUUCUAUAUCUGAAAGGAUAAGCAGGCUGUGCUUUCCAGAAAUGCGUGACCUAUCCAAUCCUUCCUCUCAUGGAAACACCAACUCAUCCAUGCCCUCUGUGCUGAAACUUCGUCUCAGCCUGCUGGAAUCACCUGCACCCCAUGGGAACUGUAGCCAUAUCUUCAGUCCUGUGAGCCCCCGUCAUGGCCUGUCACAGGAGUAAAUGAGGAGUAAGGCCCAGAAUACUCAGUACCUCUCAAUGACCCUCAGACGCUGUAGGAAGAGGAUUGGUUCACCUUUUAACCCAGAAUUUCUCACAUUGAAUGGACAGGAUGCAUUCCAAGAGGCCAGAGUAUGUGCAUCUCAGCUCCUGAUGGUUUCCACCACCACCAUUACUUUCUCUAUGUCAAGAUACCUGGGAAGCCGGUGUUUCAUUUGCAUUCUUGGAGCCCAGGAACUGUCUUCUACAAACUUUUCUUCCUAGUACCAUGUAAACGUACACAGGAAACGUUCAGAAAACAUCAGCCAAAUAGAAGAAUAAGGAAAUUCCUUCACUGACUAGAUAUUGGUGUUUGAUUCUGUCCUGCUUUGUACUCAAUGGCUAUUUCGGGGUUUCCAUUGCGGAAAACUAUUUGGAAAAUUGCAAGCCACGAGACAAGCCUCUAAGCUACUCCAGGAUCAUUGAGGACUCUCCAUGGGUUCUUAUUGUUAAAGAUCUUAACUCCUCAAGCCACUGCAUUUUUACUAUAUGCCUUGAACUACAAGAUGUGUUAAGAUUUAUAGGAUAAGGUUCUCAUCUCUAAAAACUCAUGGUCUCGAUGGAGAAGCAGUAUUUACACACAUGGAGAAGUUGAGAGUACUUGAAUGUGGAGUAUAAAGUGUGCGAUAUUGACAAGAAGCUCUACGAAAGUUCAGGAAGAGGAGGAGCAAGUGAGGAUGGAGAUGGACUUUGCAGAAUGGAGGAGAGGCAAAGAAACGGUUAGAAACAAUCUACAUAAUGAAAAGUCACUUUUGGGAGUUGUUUUAAGGCAGAGUAUCAUAUCGCAUCAAAACCGCUCCAUAAGUCCUGCCACUCCACGUGCAAUGCCAUGAACUUGAAGAAACUGCUGGUAAGAGAAAGCAAAUGCUGUGACCAGGCAAGUAAGUGUUGUCAAAGUGUUGUAAAACUACCCUGAACUUUUGGAUCCAGAGUACUUUCCUUCCUUCCCCCUCCCUCGUCCUCUCUUUUCUUUGAGUAUAAGUGGCCACAGCAACACAUUUCCAAAGCUUAAACUUAGAACUUUUAUCUGGGAAGUUUGUUUGGACAGUAUUCAAAUAUAAGUGAUAAAAAUAUACAAAGGCUGGCCAGGUGCGGUGGCUCACACCUGUAAUCCCAGCACUUGGGAGGCCGAGGCAGGCAGAUCAUGAGGUCAGGAGUUCGAGACGAGCCUGGCCAAUAUGGUAAAACCCCGUCUCUACUAAAAAUACAAAAAAAUUAGCCCGGCAUGGUGGCAGGCACCUGUAAUCCCAGCUACUCGGGAGGCUGAGGCAGGAGCAUCAGUCAAACCUAGGAGGCGGAGGUUGCAGUGAGCCGAGAUUGCAACACUGCACUCUAGCCUGGGUGACAGAGCAAGACUGCAUCUCAAAAAAAAAAGAAAAAAAAAAAGAAUAUACAAAGCCUAUUUAUGAUUUUUAAAAUUUGAAUUCAAGGAAAGUAUUGUUGCUUCUCUUAAAAGUUUUCGCUUAAGAACAUGUUUUCAUCUUCAUUUUCCCUCAUUCAUCCUGAGGCCUUCAGCCCUCCCAUAGCAAGAGAAUAUAAAAGAGGUGGGACAGAAAGAGUGAACAGGGCAUCCCAACAAAGAUGCGUUUUCCAUUUUCCUCUGUAUCUUGCAGCCUCUGUUACUACUGGGAGAGAGAGGAAGCUAAUCAAAAGUGGAAUGAAUUUGUACUGUUUAUAGGGCCUCCUCUUUCCCACACCCUUUACAUACCUCACCUUACUUAAUUCCAUGACAAUAUAGUGAAGUCUAUAUUUUUAUUCCGAUAUUACAGACACGUAUACUAAAGGGCUCAGAGAGUAAGUAACCUGUUCAGAGUCACAGAGCUAUAGCCGGGAUUGGAGCCCAGGGCUGUGUGAUUGUAUAGAGCACCUUACGUGGUCCCUACCUACAUUAUGCUGAGUCCUUUUGCCUGCAAUUAGGCUGAACUGCUGACAAGUCAGCUGGAAAUCGUGGUUACAGCUGUAGGCCAUAAUCACAGGCAAACAAUAAUAAACAAAACAUCUUCUGGGAGCUGAAUUUGCAAAAACCUAUGAAGUUAUGGCAACUGCAGCCCUGAAGACAAGGCCCAGGUAGUACCCAGGCAGAUUCAGAGAGAGCUGAUGGAGAAUAGGUAUGAGUCUCCUACCUGGCCAUUACUGUUUGGGUAGAACUUCCCUUCUCCCUCCUUCUGAAAACAAAAAACAAACAAACAAAAAAAAAAACUUGAACUCCACACAGGUUUUUUCUAUUGCAGCUGCUGCAAACCAAUGGGCUUUGGGGAACUGUGCUUCCCUUCAGAAAGGAAAGAGUAUUUAACGAUGAAAAGGAAGGCCUCUUUGUCCAAGUACAAUUCAUUAACCACCAUUUAUGGAAUACCGCCAAUGCAUCAGUCACUGUGCUAGACAUUAGGGAUAGAGACAAACAACACACUCCAUGCCCUCCAGGAGCCCAUGUUUAGUAGAGAAGAAGGACAACUGAACAAAUAGUCACUACAUAAAAGUUCACUGGUCAAGGUUUAUACAAAGUAUGAUGAGCAUACCUGGUAUGUAUGAGUAUCUUCCAAGCAGGGAAAAUUUCUUAUGUUUUCUGUUGCAAAACAAAUUUCCUCUGUUAAAAAAAAAAAAUAAGUUGGCAUCAUUCAAAUCGUCAACCCAAAUUAACUGGUCUCUAAGUUAUUGAUGCCCUGUAGCUAGAAAGUCUUUAAUUCUGUUACUGAAAUCUACUGAAACAUAGCCAAGUCUAAUAUCAUACAACCCAAAGGGGAAAUAUCACAUUUAUCUAGAUAUGUAAUUGAAAAAAAUCUGUAUACUUAGAAACUAUGAUAUUUUCACUGCUUAACAAUUUGGGGAAAUCACAUCAGGCCACAUAUUUAGAAGGUAUCCCAUGGCAACCAUGAGAAGUUACUUUGGUCUCACAUAGCUGAACAUAAAAAUGAAUCCUGGCUUAUCAGAUGUCUGGAAGAAGGGGCAGCAAAAGUUAUAUCUCCUUUGAAUUAUUAAAUUAAGUUCCUCUCUGGGUCUCCACGAGCUCUGGUGAAGCAAGAAAAUGCAUGUCCUACUCUUGGUCCCAUGGAUGUAGUAGACGUUCUUCAUGCUUGAUUUUUUUUUUUUU